GUGGGGGAUAUUGCACAAUGGGGGAAACCCUGAUGCAGCGACGCCGCGUGAAGGAAGACGUACUUCGGUACGUAAAGCUCUAUCAGCAAGGAAGAAAAUGACGGUACUUGACUAAGAAGCCCCGGCUAACUACGUGCCAGCAGCCGCGGUAAUACGUAGGGGGCAAGCGUUAUCCGGAUUUACUGGGUGUAAAGGGAGCGUAGACGGUAUGGUAAGUCAGAUGUGAAAGCCCGGGGCUCAACCCCGGGACUGCAAUUGAAACUAUCAGACUAGAGUGCAGGAGAGGUAAGUGGAAUUCCUAGUGUAGCGGUGAAAUGCGUAGAUAUUAGGAGGAACACCAGUGGCGAAGGAGGCUUACUGGACUGUAACUGACGUUGAGGCUCGAAAGCGUGGGGAGCAAACAGGAUUAGAAACCCGUGUAGUCC
rnacentral:rRNA from 1 species